CAAACUUUUGAUGGCGACCGGCGCACGGGUGAGUAACACGUAUCCAACUUGCCUCAUACUCGGGGAUAGCCUUUCGAAAGAAAGAUUAAUACCCGAUGUCAUAGUCCUACCGCAUGAUGGGAUUAUUAAAGAAUUUCGGUAUGGGAUGGGGAUGCGUUCCAUUAGUUAGUUGGCGGGGUAACGGCCCACCAAGACAACGAUGGAUAGGGGUUCUGAGAGGAAGGUCCCCCACAUUGGAACUGAGACACGGUCCAAACUCCUACGGAAGGCAGCAG
rnacentral:rRNA from 1 species